UGGUUUCCACUCCUCCUCCGGUCCGGUCCAGUUCGCCAUUCCAUCCCCGUGGCAACCGCGAGAGAGGGGGAUGGCCGCCGUUGCCGGAGCUGGAGCCGGAGGGGGCGACCAGAUGCUGCUGCUGCGGCCGCCCCCGCGCCCUCGGAGGCCCCUCGCCACCUCCGUCGUCACCCGCCUCCUCAAGCCCAUGCCCAAGCCCAAGGACAAGCGUAGGAGCCCCGACAACAGCGCCAGCAGCAUCGCCUCCUCCACCGUCCCCCGCAUCCCCACGCCUCCUCCACCGUCCCCCGCAACUGUCUCCGUCUCUAUCUCCGGUUAGAAGAGCAGAGCAGACCACCCGCUUCCCUUCCCUUGCUUAUUCAGUGAGAGCUUGCUAGGAUUUCGCUGGUUGGCUGGAUUGGGGCGGGGAUCAGCCUAGCCAAGGGGUGCUGAUUGCUGAGUGGUGAUUCAGUAAGCUAGGGUUUCGCUGUCUGGAUCCGGAUGGAUCACUUGCUUGCUCCCUUCCCUUAAUCGCUCAAUUACUUCUGUUUCGUUUCGGUCCUUACUAAUCCCAUAUUCCCAUUAUGUAUGAACUGAACCCAUGCUCGCUUAAUUAUGCAUCCAUUCCCUCGCUGCCGCAUCAAUUUCAUUUCUGCUACUAAUUUGUGCCCUUUACAGUUUAGUUUAGGUUAGUUUGUGCUCUACUGAAGCAACUAGGCAGGCAUCCUGUACGUGGAUGCUCUGCUCCCAGGGGAGCCAAUUGCAUCUGUCGCACAACGUUACCACAAGGAAUGCUCUGCACAAAAUGUGUUUGCUUCACCGACACUAUGUAAUACUAACGGUGCCCUCUGUUUGUUUCUCUACAUUUGGAGCUGAAAUUCACUCUGUCUCUUCCUAGUUACUCCCCCUGUACCAUAAUAAAAGAGCCUUUUUUACAGUACACUAGUGUAAAAAAACACUCUUAUAUUAUGGGACGGAGGAAAUAUUAUUUUGCUCCUGGUAACAGGAGCACUUUGAUUGGUUCCUUUAUGUAAUAGUUCGAUUUCCUUUUCUUUCCGCCAGUAAUUAAAUGAUGCGAGUUAGACCGCUGAUUGGUUCCUUCAUUUGAUUUGAUUUCCUUCUCUGCCACUAGUUGCCGCGACUAAGGGCAAGGAUAAAAGCCACAAGGGAGCUUCAAACUUCCAAUACCAAUCUAAACAAGGUUCAAAAGGCCAGUAAAGCUAAGGUGAAGACCGGAGGCGUGCUGCCUGGGCCCUCAUCUCCUCCCAGCAAAAACACAAGGAAUGUAUAUAUAUGCAUAUAUGUCAGGCCUCCCAGCAAAAACACAUUGAGUGACUGACUUGUUUAUAUAGAAAUUAAAUAUGAUAUCAAUCCCUGUUUUCUACCCAGCAGCGGUUCUUUCUCCAUUCAUGACAGUCUUGGUUCGUUUUCACCCUUGAUUUCAAAAAGAAGGUGAACUCUUUCUUAUCACCUUGCUGCUGUGUGUGCAUAAUUUCAGAUAACAAGUAAAGAGCAGCCGCAAAGGGAGCCUCUGAUCUCCCCGUUGUAUGCCUCCAGUAAAACAAAGGUGAAGACUGUGCUGCCUGACGCAUCAACACUUGCCAGCAAAAAGACAAUGAAGGUAACAAGGAAAUAGCAGACGUGCACAGAGCCUUUGAUCUCCCCCUUGUAUGGUUCCAGCAAAACGAAGGCGGGGACUUGAGACGGGCUGUCUGGGGCAUCGUCACAUGCCAGCAAAAAGACAAGAAAAGUAAAUCUGGGAAGAAGAGAAGGCAGACAUAAUGGAGGAGAUGAGCUGCGAUGAGGAGUCCCCGGUACCAAGUGUGCAUUGCAACAGAGCAAUGAAUUGAGGGCAAUGUGCAUAUGGAUUCAGCCCUAAAAUUGCUGACGAAAUCUGAAUGUUCAACCAUAAUAGCAAGCACUUUAUGCUCAAAACUAGCUCUGAUGAUAUGUUGCACAUCAUCAUCACAUCUAAUUUUGACCAAACCAUCUGCAAUUGAUUUGUUAGGCAAGCACCACUAAAUUUUGUGCU